UACGAGGGGGGCGAGCGUUGUUCGGAAUUAUUGGGCGUAAAGAGCGUGUAGGCGGCCAAGCAGGUCCGUUGUGAAAACUCGAGGCUCAACCUCGAGACGCCGAUGGAAACCGUUUGGCUAGAGUCCGGAGGAGGAGAGUGGAAUUCCUGGUGUAGCGGUGAAAUGCGCAGAUAUCAGGAAGAACACCCGUGGCUAAGGCGGCUCUCUAGUACGGUACUGACGCUGAGACGCGAAAGCGUGGGGAGCGAACAGG
rnacentral:rRNA from 1 species